rnacentral:rRNA from 1 species
GCCUAAAACAUGCAAGUCGAGCGGGACAGAUGGGGAGCUUGCUCCCUGAUGUUAGCGGCGGACGGGUGAGUAACACGUGGGUAACCUGCCUGUAAGACUGGGAUAACUCCGGGAAACCGGGGCUAAUACCGGAUGCUUGUUUGAACCGCAUGGUUCAGACAUAAAAGGUGGCUUCGGCUACCACUUACAGAUGGACCCGCGGCGCAUUAGCUAGUUGGUGAGGUAACGGCUCACCAAGGCAACGAUGCGUAGCCGACCUGAGAGGGUGAUCGGCCACACUGGGACUGAGACACGGCCCAGACUCCUACGGGAGGCAGCAGUAGGGAAUCUUCCGCAAUGGACGAAAGUCUGACGGAGCAACGCCGCGUGAGUGAUGAAGGUUUUCGGAUCGUAAAGCUCUGUUGUUAGGGAAGAACAAGUGCCGUUCAAAUAGGGCGGCACCUUGACGGUACCUAACCAGAAAGCCACGGCUAACUACGUGCCAGCAGCCGCGGUAAUACGUAGGUGGCAAGCGUUGUCCGGAAUUAUUGGGCGUAAAGGGCUCGCAGGCGGUUUCUUAAGUCUGAUGUGAAAGCCCCCGGCUCAACCGGGGAAGGUCAU